GAUGAGAACGUAGCGAAAUGCGAUAAGUAGUGUGAAUUGCAGAAUUCAGUGAAUCAUCGAAUCUUUGAACGCACAUUGCGCCCUUUGGUAUUCCUUAGGGCAUGCCUGUUCGAGCGUCAUCUAAACCUUCAAGCCCUGCUUGGUGUUGGGUGCCUGUCCCGCCUCCGCGCGUGGACUCACCUCAAAUCCAUUGGCGGCCCCCGCGUCGGCCACGAGCGCAGCAGAAACGCGAACUCGUGAGCCCGUCCGGGCGGCUCCCAGAAGCUAACCCCCAAUUUUUGACCUCGGAUCAGGUAGGGAUACCCGCUGAACUUAAGCAUAUCAAUAAGCGGAGGA
rnacentral:misc_RNA from 1 species